GGAGUUUUUCUGAUUGAGAACUUUGAUAGCAUCUGCUAUAUCUACAGCAAGCUGUUCUGCUGCUUCUCUUGUGAGAGAGGGGAGAGAUAUCCUGGCCAAGAAAUCCUGUAUGAUCAAUAUAAAUAUGGUUGGAAAUUCCCAUAUUUGGGGAGUGUGGUCAUAUAGACUUAUAAAAUAAGUUUGGAAAGUCUUGGCUAUUUUAGAGGAGAUGUUGGUCAGAGUCCGCUGGGUGGUUUUAGUCUAGUUGAUUUGUU